AACGGUACUGGGUGGACGACUCGGCACGUUUAUCGAGGACGAGCGCAACAAAACGCGAUAUGAGGCGAGAUAUGUAAAGAUUUACCAGAUCGUCAUCAUCUCAAAUGCAAUCUGUGCCUGAGUUUACCUCAGGCGUGUCUAGUUCAGUUGGGAUCAUUCAUCGAAGAUUCAAUUCACACUUGUGUGAACUUGAUUCUCUUCGUUAGACUUCUUGUCAGCUUGCUGAUGUGAUGUCCUGAAGAAUGUUCAAUUGGAGAACUUGAUUCUUCACAUUGAGCGGUGAACUGUUGGUUUAUUCCAGCGUUUCCACUCUUGUGAUUGUCUUGCUCUCUUCCAAACCCCCAAUGAGCUUAGGCAUGAAAACCCCGGGGACUUAAGCAUAUCAUUACCGGGAGGAAAAGAAAUCAACAGAGAUUCCAUGUUUAGCGGCGAGCGAAACUGGAAUAGCCCACGCUGAAGCAGGUUUGUUUGAUUACAGGCUUGCAAUGUAGCGAAUCCACAGCGUUAUGCAUGCUUUGAAACAACGGUGAAAUUUGGCUCUGGAACGCCAUACCAAAGAAGGUGAUAGUCCUGUAACCGUAUGUCAAUGGGUGUGUACUUGAUGUUGAUGGUUGAGUCGAGCUGUUUGGUAGUACAGCUCUAAGCGGGUGGUAUGUUCCAUCCAAGGCUAAAUAUUCUGAAACGUGACCGAUAGCAAACAAGUACUGUGAAGGAAAGUUGAAAAGGACUUUGAAAAGAGAGUUAAAAGAGACCGAAACCCAAUACCGGUAA
rnacentral:misc_RNA from 1 species